UACGUAGGGUGCGAGCGUUGUCCGGAAUUAUUGGGCGUAAAGAGCUUGUAGGCGGUUUGUCGCGUCUGCUGUGAAAUUUCGGGGCUCAACCCCGAACUUGCAGUGGGUACGGGCAGACUAGAGUGUGGUAGGGGAGACUGGAAUUCCUGGUGUAGCGGUGAAAUGCGCAGAUAUCAGGAGGAACACCGAUGGCGAAGGCAGGUCUCUGGGCCAUAACUGACGCUGAGAAGCGAAAGCAUGGGGAGCAAACAGG
rnacentral:rRNA from 1 species